UUCUCAUUCAUUACCAAAUCUAACGUGUUCUCAUUCAUUACCAAAUCUAAUGUGUUCUCAUUCAUUACCAAAUCUAACGUGUUCUCAUUCAUUACCAAAUCUAAUGUGUUCUCAUUCAUUACCAAAUCUAACGUGUUCUCAUUCAUUACCAAAUCUAAUGUGUUCUCAUUCAUUACCAAAUCUAACGUGUUCUCAUUCAUUACCAAAUCUAAUGUGUUCUCAUAUAGACCAAAUCUAACGUGUUCUCAUUCAUUACCAAAUCUAACGUGUCCUCAUAUAGACCAAAUCUAACGUGUUCUCAUUCAUUACCAAAUCUAACGUGUUCUCAUUCAUUACCAAAUCUAACGUGUUCUCAUUCAUUACCAAAUCUAACGUGUCCUCAUAUAGACCAAAUCUAACGUGUUCUCAUAUAGACCAAAUCUAACGUGUUCUCAUUCAUUUCCAAAUCUAACGUGUUCUCAUUCAUUACCAAAUCUAACGUGUUCUCAUUCAUUUCCAAAUCUAACGUGUUCUCAUUCAUUUCCAAAUCUAACGUGUUCUCAUUCAUUUCCAAAUCUAAUGUGUUCUCAUUCAUUACCAAAUCUAACGUGUUCUCAUAUAGACCAAAUCUAAUGUGUUCUCAUUCAUUACCAAAUCUAACUUGUUCUCAUUCAUUUCCAAAUCUAACGUGUUCUCAUUCAUUUCCAAAUCUAACUUGUUCCAAAAUUGCUUUCCUUAUGAAUUUGUCGAAUAAUAUAGCCUAUCAAAUCAAUUCACAUUUUACUGGUCACAUACACGUGGUUGGCAGAUGUUAAUGAGAGUGUAGCAAAAUGCUUGUGCCAUAUAACCUAUGUCAUAUACCCUAUGUCAUAUACCCUAUGUCAUAUAACCUAUGUCAUAUAACCUAUGUCA
rnacentral:lncRNA from 1 species